AGAAACAAAACGGAGGGAUCUGAUUUCAAUCUUCCUUCUUCCGAGAUCGGCGUAAAUGGUUGCAAUUGAUUUCAUCUCAGAGGCCAUAGACUCUGACUCGGCGACUCGGUGGUGGUUCACCGUUCACUCCCUUACCGCCUCUCUCUUUUUCCGGCGACCUCUGCUCUCUCCCAAACCUCUCUCCGUCCGCGAAAGAUCGGCGUCCGAUUCAAGCAUUUCCUUCCUCAAUGGAUCUUGUCUCUCACUCGGAUUCAAAACAUCGUCGGAUCUUGUAUCUCACUCGCAGCGAUUUGUGCAUAGCUCGACCUCCAUGGCCAUCAGAGGCGUCGAUUUCAAGUGUCGCCAACAAAUGAAUCACUCAGGCGGUGCCGAUUCUCGUCGCCGGAAAACGACGUUGUACAGGCGCCAGACUCACCGACUUCCGUCCAGUCCACUUCAGCACUGGAAGCUUCACGACCGGAGCCUCCGAGGCCUCUGCUCGGAAGCUCGCCGUCGGGCUCUGGCAGCUGUGCUUCAGCGAAGUUUCAUGGGGUACAGAGCUCAAUUCUGGUUCUGAUGAUCAUCUUCGAGCUCAUCUUGAGAUCUUGUUAUAUGAAACCGAUAGCGAUUGUUGAUGUUUGUUGAUAAUGGGCUGGCAGCUGGAAUGGGUUUGUUCUGAAUCCCAGACAGCAGCACCUUUGGCUGGAGAUUCUGCUCAAGCUUUCUUCUCAAGUUCAAAGGCUUCAACAACUUUGGGAGGAAAAGCUUCUGAACAACCCCCACGAACACCAGUAUCCAAAGAAGAGAUCGAGGCUAUUUUGGUUUGUAGAAUUUUUUUGCCUUGUAUUGCAAUAUUCUAUUCGUGGUUUUAUUUAUUAACUUUCCUUGGAUCAAAUUCUUCAGCCCUAAUGCCUGCCUCUUCACUGGCCACCCUUUGACAUGCAACUAGUAGUUUACAUAGGUGAAAGUGAUGAGAUGCAUCAUAGUCUUUUUCUCUUACUAAAUUAUCGCACUAGAAUUCUCAUUAAUGAUAAUUUUUUGGUGUUGUGAAAGUGGUGGGAAGCAUGAGUUUCACCAAUUCAUGCCUGUAAGUUCAUUUCACUUUAUAGGUUAGGAGGAAAUUCCUUCGAACUGGUCAAGCGACGAGUAUUGUACGGACGAGAAGUAUGUUAUAUGAUUAGUGAUUCAUUGGGAUCUGUCAAGUCUCAAGUUACUGAAACAGGCACACUGACUAGAUGUUGCUCUAGAAAUAAUGCAGUAGGCUAUAUGUGUUUAAACUUGUUUUAGUCCCUUACUAGUUUAAAAAUGCUUCUUUUCUGAUAAAUUUUUCGAACUGAUUGAUUAGCAUAUAGGAUAAUCUGAUGGGAAAUGGAAUUGAUUUUUCAGUCUGAAGUUUUUGCCGUUGCAUUUCAUUUUUCAAUCGGAUAGGAUAAUCUAAAUCUUUCUCACUGCUCUUUCUUUAACUAUCGAUGGUGGUCAUGUUUCAUGGUUUAUUUGCUUUUGUGAUGAUGGGUUGUUGGUGGAUUUUGUAUUACUUUGAUCUGAUACAUCCGUGAUUGUUUUGGUUGGUUUGCAAACCCAGUCUUCAUGCUUUCUCUGUUGGAGUAUUUCCUUGUCUGUAGAUGAUCUUGUUGUUUGUCUUGUUUGAAUUGUGGAUUGAUGGAGUUGCAAUGGAUAAUUCUGGAGAUCUAUAAUCAGUUCCUAAAGUUUCAAGAGUCGUGCUUUCUUUUGAUGGCCUGUUCUGGUCAAUUGCCAAAUGUGAUAGAUGGAGAAUCUAAUAAGCGAAUUUGGUUUGAUGAGGCUCUAUGAUGUACGACUUCUUUAUGGGAAAUGGUUGGCAUGUGGCAUCAUAUCAAGCUAUCAUCAGCCCCUGCAAGUACUCAUGUAAUCAAUCUGAAGACAAUUCUAAUCUAGCUAGCAUGUUCUAUAUUUGAAAACCAGUUUAAUUAUACUAUGAUUUUGUAAUAUGAAGUUAAUUGAUAUAAUUUAUUAUAUGAAUGCUUUUGUUUACUAUGGUUGAAUGAAAGGAUUUAAUUGAAAGUAUUGUC